GCGCUGAGAGAGGUGUCUCCUGCUGGACUUCUCCAGGAUGGUCCCAUCUGCCUUUUUCCUCUGGGGUCCACUACUACCACCAUGCCCUGGGAGGCCUGUUCUUCCUGCUUGUUCUAGCCUCAAGCGGGCUCCCGCCUCCACCCUCCCCUCUCCUUCCUGGACACGUGGUUUUAUUUUUAACCUGAGUUUACAGGCAGGAUCUGGAAGAGCCAGUUUGUGGCAGCUUUUUUGCUUCCCUCCCCCACCUAAAGAGUCACAUGUGGAACCCGAAUUCCCCGAAAGUCUGUGGUGACAGCGUUGGCCCACUGAAAAGGGCGCAGACAGGGCAAUGAUACAGCGAGAGAGAGAGGAGGGCCUUCUUCCCCUGUCUUCCUCCCCCUGGCUCCACCACCUGAUCGCUGAUUUUCAAUGAAAUUACGUAUUUGUU